AUUUUCUGUUCUAAUGCCAAUGUUUGUCUUGGAUGAAAAGUUCAGUCUCAUUUGUAUAUUUGUAGUAUUACUUGCAUUAUUCCUCAUUGGUUUAUACCUAACGGAUUAACCCCAAUCAAGUUGUAACUGUUAUUUACUACAGGUUGCUGAUGUUAAUUUGGAUGGAGCUAAUUUGGCUGUUGGGACAACAAAUGGUCUGGUGCGCAUCUAUAAACUCCGAGAACACAAUGGGGGUUCAAGCUUCAAUUUUGUGAGUGAAUUUAAGCAAGGUAAAUAUUUCAUACAGAACUUGAUGAUAGAUGCCUAAAGCUUCACCUGCUGCCUAUUCUCCAAUAUUACUGUCAUCUUUGUUAAGACAAUUUUAUGUCAUUUUCACUUCUUCUCACCAGCACAUACUAAAAUACAGUUGUGUCCAAUAACUGUACUACUGAUAGCCAUUUCAUGAUCUUUGUUCUAACUGAAUUGAUGGUCUCUGGCCACAAUAUAACUAUGGGGGCUGACCAACAUGAGGCAUUGAGGCAGACCAACAAAUCAACAUAAAUAAGGUGCUAGCUUCUCAAACUUUUUUCAGAAUGAGAUAUAUGAACUGUAUGUCAUGUCAGUGUGAUUAAUUUUGCCAUGUUACAGAUCAUAGUGUUGACACCAAUACUCGAGAAAUACUAGAAAUCCUUGUACUGUGGUUUUUCUUCAACCUGCUUUGGUGGCAGGGUACCAUUUUAGGAGCAUAUAUGAGGUGGCUGAAGUUUUUUGAGAUUUGGUUAACAGGAAACAAUGCGUAUGGUAACUGUCGACCCCAUGUUUUUUGUUUUGUGUGCACACGCAGAUUGUUACUUGAUCUUCUUCAGUGAGGUAUGCAAUUUUUGAACAUGUUGGCAGAAAUGAUGUUCUGUUUUAUUAAAACCUAACUAUGUUCUGUUAAAUCCUAAUUAGGCCCCCGUGCGUCACCACAGAAUUGCAAUAAAUAUCACGGUAAUAAUAUCACGGUAAUAAUACUGACAGUAUGGCAGCCGACCGUGAUUUUAUUUAAAUGUGAUAGCAAUAACCUAUGGUAAGAUUUUGUGUUUGGUUUUCCGAAUUUUAGGUUUCUAUAUGGAACCCGCUGAUAAACAACAGUCUCAAAGUAUGGAACUACAUACACUGAACUUUUAAAAAAGAAGCUGAAAAAUGAGAAUUCUAGAUAAUGUCGACCUUCUAGCUUCCAUUUCCCAACUAUUUGUUAAACUCAAAGACAAAAAACAAUCUCCUGUUAAGUCAAAGCAAAAUUUACUUGUUAAAUCUUUGGAGACCAUUGUUGAGGUUGAGAAGAAAACUGAGCUGGAAGAGGAGGCAGAUGUUCUAUCUGAGAUAGAGGAGGAAAAACUUGAAUCUGAAUUAGACGCAGGAGAAGGGAGUUCUGAGGUCAAAUACCGCUGCUAGAUGUUUCUUGUUUGAUUUAUUGGUUUUUUCAAUUCUGAUUUCGCAGCGGAGUGAUGGUCCAAGAGGGAUUCACCAAGCCUUUUCAGUCAUGAGCACUUCUUUUAUGAAGAGCGGAGUGUUGGUCCAAGAGGGAUUCACUAAGCCUUUUCAGUCAUGCCAGGAGCAUCAUGUACGCCCUCAAGGAGAAGGGGAUCGACAUGGUAAUUGCUUCUCGCUCCCCACCUCGGACAUAGCCAAGGUGUUCCAAGACAAGUUGGAGCUCCAGCCAGGUUUGUCGCCCAAGAGUAUUUGCACUUCUUUUGUAACCCUCCACUUUGCCAUAGGGACAUCAAAUCGAGCAACAUUCUUUUAUAUGAGCAUUUCGUUGCGAAGGUCCAGAACAUCUGCACUAGGCUGCCUAAAAAGAAGUCUUACAAAGAUUUGGUUAGUUGCUUCAUGCUUUCUCUAUUCCUCUCUUAAUACUUAGCUCUAUUUGAUUGAUCUGUGCUAUACUGUAUGUGCUAUUUUUUAUUUUUGUAUCUCAACUUAAUCUUUGAGAACUGCAUGUACCACUAUUUCUGUAUUUUUAUUAAUUUUGUUCAUACUCCGCGAUGCCAUUGCUACUCAACCGGAGUACUGGCUCAACUGGAGGUUCUUGCUGUGCGCGCUCUGGGUCUACUCCUGCAUGGCCUUGGCAUUCUUCUUGAUUAAGAAGUACGAGGGGGCCAGUUCACCGGACAGCAAUGGCGAUGACGGUGGAGACAGAGAAGAGGCGUUACCACGUGUCAGACCUGGUGUUGUUUAUCUUGAAGAUUGCUGGAAGACAUGCCUUGAGGGUAUCCACCCUGGCUGGCUGCUGGCAUUUCGCGUUGUGGCCUUCUUCGUUUUGGCUUCACUGCUCGUGGUCGACAUCAUUACUGAUGGAUGGAGUAUCUUCCUAUACUACACUCAGACGGGCAAAUGUCGUAUCUUUACCUUUUGCGUGGGGUACCCAGGCCGACCAGGUUGCGGCAUAGGUUCUGAAAAUUGUUGCAUUUGUUGCGGCAUACGUUUGUUCAACAGAUACAGUAGCAGACCUUUUUAUCAUUGUCAGAUCAAUGUAUUUUUCUGUUGCAUUUGUUGGUUCUGAAAAUUGUAUAACUGCUCGACCUAUUUUUGUCGUGGAAGGAAAACAAGCUAAACUAAAAUGAGACAGGCAAAUGCUCGAGUAAAUGGACUUGCAGCUUAGCUUGACACUAUGUUGUACAACUGUAGUAUCUGUUCUUAACAUCUGGUUACAAGACCUGAAAGCAGUUAUAUUUUUCUUUGUAGUAUUAGUAUCUGAUGGCGAAACCUUGAAACAAUCUUAGAACAGGUUCUAAAUUGUAUUACGUUCUUUUCAAAUUGAUAAUGUGGUGAUGAAAGAUCGGGUCAUGCUGACUUGUAGUUCAAUAUGGCCAGCAGCUCCAGCAGGGUGAGAAAGAUCGUCAUCAGGUUCUAAAGGAUUUCUCAAAGUUGCUUGAUGAUCAGGUAAUGCUAUUAAAUAGAAAUAUGUGCAAAGUCAUUAGUUCAAACUCCCUGAUCUGCUUUAACUUGCAGGCUUUAGGACAGCAGUGGCUACCUGUCAAAAAAAAAGAAUGCCGUCUUUGUAUGGACAUCUAAGCAUUAAAUAGCUUUUGAUUUGCUCAAAACAGCCUUGUGUUCGGCUUCAGUGUUGGCUCAACCCAACUUCGCUAAACCAUUCGAUCACCAUUGAAACAGAUGCAUCGGGCAGCGGUGCUGUUGCAGGAUCACCAUCCAUUAGCUUACAUUAGCAAACCUCUCGGUGUUAAGAACAUGGGAUUAUCAGCCUUGCUAUUUUAUUGGCAGUAGAUCAUUGGAGAUCCUACCUUCAGCAUGGUCCAUUUAUUAUUUACACUGAUCAACGCAACAUGUCCCAUCUCAAUGAACAAGUCCUAAAAUAAAACACCUUGGCAGCAAAAGGUUUUUACAAAGCUUUUGGGACUCCAGUAUCACAUUGUUUACAAGAUGGGGGUCGACAAUGGAGCAGCUGAUUCCUUAUCUCGCAGACCUCACCAUCUGGAAUCUAUGCAGUGGCUAGCUGAUAUAGUGGCAGGCUAUGCACAAGACCCGGAAUCUAUGCAGUUACUGGCGGAAUUGUCAUCAGGAUAUUCUCAGCACAAAUACUACAGUCUGGUUGAUGGUGUUAUUAUCAUUUAUCAGAUAUAAGGGUCGUACCGGCGUGUUCGACAGCUAUUUGCUUGGCCUGCUAUGAAAGCAACUGUCCGCCAAUAUGUCCGUCUGUUCUCAAGCCAAACCAGACUGUAGGUGGUGCAGCGCAUUUGCGCCUAGAAGAAGCGGGUGGCGGAGAAGGCGCUAUAGGGUAGCGACAGUUAUGUGCCUUGUUUUCAUAAUUA